AGCCUUAGAGCUCAGCUGGUAGAGCGUGCGCUGUACGAAAGCGCAGGCGGCGUUCAUUUGUGGGUUUGAAUCCCAUCGAGGUUA
rnacentral:tRNA from 1 species